UACGAAGGGGGCUAGCGUUGUUCGGAAUUACUGGGCGUAAAGCGCACGUAGGCGGAUUGUUAAGUCAGGGGUGAAAUCCUGGAGCUCAACUCCAGAACUGCCUUUGAUACUGAGGGGCUCGAGUCCGGGAGAGGUGAGUGGAACUGCGAGUGUAGAGGUGAAAUUCGUAGAUAUUCGCAAGAACACCAGUGGCGAAGGCGGCUCACUGGCCCGGUACUGACGCUGAGGUGCGAAAGCGUGGGGAGCAAACAGG
rnacentral:rRNA from 1 species